rnacentral:rRNA from 1 species
AUACGGAGGGGGCAAGCGUUGUUCGGAAUUACUGGGCGUAAAGGGCGCGUAGGCGGACGAUCAAGUCAGGGGUGAAAGGCCUGGGCUCAACCUGGGAAUUGCCUUUGAAACUGAUUGUCUAGAGUCCGGAAGAGGAUGGCGGAAUUCCCAGUGUAGAGGUGAAAUUCGUAGAUAUUGGGAAGAACACCGGUGGCGAAGGCGGCCAUCUGGUCCGGAACUGACGCUAAGGCGCGAAAGCGUGGGGAGCAAACAGGAUUAGAAACCCCAGUAGUCC